GAUGAACGCUAGCGAUAGGCUUAACACAUGCAAGUCGAGGGGCAGCAUGGUCUUAGCUUGCUAAGACUGAUGGCGACCGGCGCACGGGUGCGUAACGCGUAUGCAACUUGCCUCACAGAGGGGGAUAACCCGUCGAAAGACGGACUAAUACCGCGUACACUUGGGAUAGGGCAUCCUGACCCAAGGAAAUGAAAUUCGCUGUGAGAUAGGCAUGCGUCCCAUUAGCUAGUUGGUGAGGUAACGGCUCACCAAGGCGACGAUGGGUAGGGGAACUGAGAGGUUGAACCCCCACACUGGUACUGAGACACGGACCAGACUCCUACGGGAGGCAGCAGUGAGGAAUAUUGGUCAAUGGGCGAGAGCCCGAACCAGCCAAGUCGCGUGAAGGAUGACUGUCUUAUGGAUUGUAAACUUCUUUUAUACGGGAAUAACAAGAGCCACGUGUGGCUCCCUGCAUGUACCGUAUGAAUAAGCAUCGGCUAACUCCGUG
rnacentral:rRNA from 1 species